GCAGACACAUUCCAGCCAAUCAGCAGCAGACCCUCCCUCCCAGACCCUCCCACCUCCUGGACAGCAUCCAUUUUGAACCUGCAUUCUUAGUGAGCUGUCCAGGAGGUGGGAGGGUCUGGGAGGGAGGGUCUGCUGCUGAUUGGCUGGAAUGUGUCUG
rnacentral:miRNA from 1 species